GAGAGAGUGGGCAGAGAGUUUGGGGUUCGUAGAUGCAAACGAUUAUAUAUAGAGUGGAUAAGCAACAAGAUCCUACUGUGUAGCACAGGGACUAUAGUCAAUAUCCUAUGAUAAACCAUAAUGGAGAAGAAUAUGAAAAAUAAUGUGUGUGUGUGUGUGUUGAAUCACUUUGUUUGUACAGUAGAAAUUAACACAGCAUUGUAAAUCAGCUAUACUUCAAUAAAAUAAAUUUUAGGAAAGAAAAAAAAUGAAUUAGUUGGUUCACCCUGAAAACAAAUUGCAUGCUUUACAUAAAAACACAAAAUUCUGGUUUUGGGGGAAAAUUGAGAAGAUCCAACCAGUUUUAAUGAGUAUUCUCAGGUGGCAAAAUGGUCAGAAACUGGCAGUUUUUUUGUGAGGGGGAAAGCAUUCCACAGUUUACUAACAUGCCUUCUUUUCCUGUGGUCCUCACCUUCUUAAAAUAUCUUAAGUGGUUCCUGCAGGCUGUUGGGGUUGUGAUGCCAUACUUCUGCGGUCAAGGAAAGUAAUGAAAAUUUUCAAUUGCAAGUUGAAAAUGCAAUGGAAAUGAAAAUUACUGAAUGAAAAUAAUUGACUGAAGCCCUCACCCACCCAGACAGUGGUGGCCGUACAAAAGAGUAUUUUACAAUACAACUUUUUUUUACAGUGGCAAGCCCUCGGGGCCAGGGCGUCACUUCCCUGGCACUGGUAUGAGUCAGAUAUCCUCUGCCCUGAGUUGAUCUUGGGCUUGGGUGUCAGAUUGGCAUGUCAGCAUGCACUGUUGUGAGCUGGUGGAUAUAGUUUUUGGGUUACUGUUGUUUUCUUAAAUUGCUUUAUUGAGGCAUAAUUGGCAGAAAAUAAACUCCACAUUUUAAAAAUGUAUAAUUUGCUAAGUUUGGACACAUGUGUAUACCCAUGAAACCAUCACUAAACUAAGAUAUUAACCACCCCUAAAAGUCUCAUCCUGCCCCUUUUUAAUCCCUAUUCCCUCCUUCUUUACCCCACCCUGACUGCUACCCAUGGGAACUCUGCUUCAUCACUGUAGAUUAGUGUGCAUUUCCAAGAAUUUUGUGUUUAAAUGACAUCAUACAUCAUGUACUCUUGUCCAACUUCUUUUCAUAACACCACACCUAUCUUAAGAUUGAUUCAUGUUGUGGUUCUAUCAAAAGUCAGGUCUUUUUUUUUUUUUUUCCCACUGCUAAGCACAGUCCCAUCACAUACCCCAGUUUAUCCAUUUAAAGCAGAUUUUUGGACAUCAUGACCCCAGUUUCUGCCCACUCAUCAUGCUCCCUCAUAGAUUGGGAUUGGCAUCCAGGAUUUCUGAGGUCUUACAUAAUUCUGUGAUUCUAAGGAGAAGCCAGCCUUACGGGUGGCCUUGUUGGGGGAAUGUGCAGAUGGGCUCUUUGAAGGUCGACAGGCUGGAGCUCAGAAAGAACGCCUUCUCUACCGACCUUCCUGUUUUGUGUUUUUUUUUGAGAAGGGCUGAAAUAGCUUCAAUUUUUGGCUUCUAAAUUGAGAACACUUUCCUGGCAUUUGUCAACUAUAUGUUGCCUGUGUAAAAUGAUAGUCUGUGGCUGUUUGAAAAUUGUAGUGUGGAGAUUAUGGUGUGAAGGUUGGUAUUCUGGGUAUAUAAAGUUAAUGGUGGUGGACACAUUUCUUGGAAAAAGGUCAAGAUAAUAAUCAAAAGAGCUAGCUUCUGUCACCCUAAGACUGUUGUGCUCACCAAGGAUGAGUUCAACAGAAUCUCAGUAGCCAUCACAACAAAGGAAUGGAGAAAUAAAAAUGGGAGUCCCACUUAAUUUCUUGGUUGGAUAGUGCAGCUCAU